rnacentral:rRNA from 1 species
GACGAACGCUGGCGGCGUGCCUAAUACAUGCAAGUAGGACGCAGUUGCGAACGGGUGAGUAACGCGUAGGUAACUACCUAUUAGAGGGGGAUAACUAUUGGAAACGAUAGCUAAUACCGCCUACUAGUAGAUGGACCUGCGUUGUAUUAGCUAGUAGGUUGGGUAAUGGCCUACCUAGGCAACGAUACAUAGCCGACCGUGAGAGGUGACCGGGCACACUGGGACCUGGACAACGCCCAGACUCCUACGGGGGGGAACAAGAGGGAAACUUCGGCAAUGGGGGGAACCCUGACCGAGCAACGGCGCGUGGUUGGAGGAGGGUUUCGGGUCGUAAAACUCUGUUGUUAAGGGAGCGUUACUUAAACAGAAAGGGACGGCUAACUACGUGCCAGCAGCCGCGGUAAUUC